rnacentral:lncRNA from 1 species
GCGACGGUUCGGUGGGUUUGACCUAGCCACUCAAUGAGAAAAUCUUAUUGUUGACGAUUUAAGUGUUAUAAAAUGAAAAAGCAUGCAUAUUCUUGUUAUAUGUAUUUAUUGUGAAUUUUAGAAUGCUUAAAAUGCUUAUGUUGCAUAUAGUAGAAUUUUGGGCCUCUAUGUAGUAGAGAGCAUGCAUGUGUAAUACAGCAUUCUGGUGAGAUAUGAAGCUAAGAUCCCUACUAUGAAAAUGAACCUUUCUUUCAUGCAUUUAGCUUAUUUGCCAAUUGUGACAUUAGGGAUUUUUAGAAGCCUAGAGAGGCUUGAGGACUUAGGCUAUUUGAGAGAUUGGGCCAAUGUCAUAAAGAGGCAUUGGGUCCGGGCUAAAGAAAACCUUGCUAGUAUUGUUUUAAUUAGAAUAUGGAACAUGAAUUGGGCAUGAUUAGUUGUGAUGCUUAAGUGUCAUAAAGAGGCACUAAGCAAGUGUGUGCGUUAGAGCGUCACUUUGAGACUUGGGACUAGAUCCUUGGGAUACUAGUGACCUUGCCAUGUGGGAGGCAUGAGUAGAGUACUUGAGACUUUGACCUUGCUUGUUUGCCAUUUGUGCUCAUUCGCACAUGCUUGUGAAGGUCGCUCCCUACAAGCCGGCACUUCGGAGUUAGCCUAUGUGACUUAUGUUCGCUCGUGCGGUAUUGAGAAGCCUACGGGGUCGAGUGGGACAGACACAUUCCAAGAGUAGGGAUGUCGGGCUACCACAGGCACUUAGGAGGCACAAGUUGGACUACCUUUGGUAGGUCCUUAAUUGGAAAUGAAAAUCGACACGGUGUUAAAAAUGAAUAAUCACUGCUAGAUAGGCUUAGUAGUUGGGUUACCUGACACGCUCAUGACAUAGCAUUGGGAUACAUAUAGUAUACUUGCCUGUUUUAUUCAUUGUGUCAUAGUAUACUGGGUCGCAAGGUAGAGCUCAUUCUUUAUGCAUGACAUCUUGGACGGUAGCAUUUACUUCUUGCCAUCGGACGUACUUAUUUAUGCUAGAAUAGAUGUACAUCAUACUUACAUCAUGCCUACUUGAGACAUAGUAAUAUAGCAUUUCAUAUAUACUUUCUUUCAGCAGUUAUUGUACACGCUCUUUAUUGCUUGCUAUUAUUGUCGUUACUUACCCUUUUCUUUUGGGGCUUAGUGGUGCAUUGAGCUGAGGUCAGUAAUUGCUCACUGGGAACUAUAAAUUAUUGUUCUCACGCCCUCUGUUUUAUGUUUUUUUUCAGAGCCUUCCACGCCGGGAGAGGCUAGGGACCGUGGGAAGGGCGUCGCUUCGAGUUAGCCCUUCAGCGAGAGAUGAGUUUAGGUUGUCUACCUCUCGAUGUUUUAUUUUGCGAGAGGUUGGGAGUUGUACCCGUAUAUGUAUAGAGACCACCUUUCUUUUGGAUCUUGGUAUUUCUUUUGAGGAGUUAGUAUUGUAUCACCUUAUGUUUUACUUUCUUCGUCUUGGUAUAUUUCCUUUACUCUGGUUUAGAUGAUAGAACUUUGCUCGCUCUGAUAUCGUUAGUUGUUAUUAUUCUAUUUGUUCUAUUUCUUGCUUUUACUUCCGCUUUAUUGUAGACGCCUUAUAUGUGUAGACAUAUGGCGGGUCUAGGCACGCCACCGGGAGGGCCCCCGCCGGUCCCGGGGCGUGACAGAUUAAUUUGGUAUCAGAGCCUAGGGUUGAGUCUUAGAGGACCUAGCAAACAUUAGGCCGGUUGGACUAUAGGAAUUAGGCUCGUGAGAGACGAGGACUAAUGACUUGUGAACGAAAGUAUUUUGAUUGGGUUUGAUGAUAACUCUAAAAAGUUAGAGUUUGACCGAGGUGGAUGGCUUCUAACUUCGCGGAGGGUUACGUUGGCGGCCGACAACGUAACAUCGGGAGUUAGUAGUGAAGGACACUUCCUUACUUUCGCAUGAUUUGGGUUUUAUCUUUUGAGCGGGGAUUCGAUAGUGCGGGUUACUAACUUGCACUUUUAUGUUCUGUAGUGACGAUGCCGAUUACACGCUCCCAGUGUGCCGGGGCGGAUGAUGCGGCACAUCCCGAGGAGGUCGAGACCUCCGCUACUUCCGGAUCUAGGGAGGUCCGUGACUUGAGGGCCCAGCUUGCGGUUCUCACUGAUCUAUUGGUGCAGCAGACAGCAGCGCCGCAGCGACAGGCUGAGGUGGCUCAGCGGCAGGAAGCGCGGAUGAAGCAUCUGGAGGACUUCCUACUUCAGCAGGCGGCGUCCUCGAGGGAGACCCAGGGUCCUACACCGCCAGCACCCGUGGUGGAUGUCGCACCGAGGGCGCAGUCCCCUACGCCCAGUUCUUCACGUGCGGCACCGACGACCACACCUCGGGAGGAAGUGGCUGCGGCACUACCUGUUCAGAGAUCAGCGACAGGGGCGGCAUUCCCCGUGAUGGCCGAGGGAGCCGAGCAGGAUCGGCUCAUGGAUAGCCUCAGUGAGUUUAGGAGGUGCAGCCCGAGGACGUUUGAUGGCGAGAACGUCGACCAUUGGAUUGUUGAUAAAUGGUUGAUGCAUAUGGAGAAGCUUUUUCGAGACACCUUUGUGGAGAAGCGGGACAGAGUUUGGCUCGCCACUCACUUCUUGGACGGCGAGGCCUACCGUUGGUGGUUGGAUAUCCAGGACAACCCCAGCACCAACUUGACAGCGAUUACUUGGACGAGGUUCAAGGAGCUCCUUCUGGUGCACUACUUCCCGACCAACGCCAAGAGGAAGAUGGAGCAGGAUUUGCGCAGCUUGUGCCAGGACGAGCGAUCAGUGGCCGAGUACGAGAGAGAGUUUUCUCGGCUACUCCACUGUGUACCUUUUGUGGUCCGGGACGAUGAGGACAAGGCCCGCAUCUUUGAGCGUGGAUUGCGGCCUUCGAUCUUUCGGUUAGUGCAGUCCUCCAACCUCCAAACCUACCGGGAGGUUGUGGACCGUGCACUCAUUGUGGAGGCUGGAGCUGUAGACCUUCAGGAGCGACGCGAGGCCCUAGACAAGGGCAAGGGAAAGAGGCCCGCGGCUGAGUGUGCGAGCCAGACGCACUCACGGAGGCCGCCAAGGAACCCCAGGAGUCGGAGCCAGUCGCAAGGACGUGGCUCGUCUACUCAGCGAGGAGGACCCGAUCGUCGUCAAGCUCCCCGCUGCGUGAUCUGUGGCGGUCCUCAUUAUCCGCGACAGUGUUCACGCAGCCGGGGCAGGUGCUUUUUGUGUGGCCAGGAGGGCCACUUCCAGUCGGACUGUCCGAGGAGUCCGUUGCCAGCGCCAUCUUCGGCAUCUGCACCAGCAUUGCCGGGUCCCAGUCAGGGGACAUCUUCUGCGCAUCACCAGGCAGGGCGGUCGCCAGUUCAGCGGCAGGUGGGGGGGUCACAACAGGCCCCGAGCGGGCGCAUGUACGCGGCCCAGACUUAGGAGGCGGCGGCAGCCGAGAAUGUGGUCGCAUGUAUCAUUUUACUUUAUGGUAUUCGAGCUAGAGCUUUGUUUGAUACCGGUGCAUCGCAUUCAUUUAUAGAUCGGCUGUUUGCCGAGUUGCAUGGCAUCCCACUUGUAUCCUUGUUGCACCCGGGAUGAGUUGUUGUACCUGAUCAUUCUUUGGACAUUCGGGACUUUUGCCCAAGUUGCCUGUUCGGGUUGGAGAUUGGAUCAUGCCCGUGGACUUGCUAGCUUUGCAUAAACUCGAGGAGUUUGACGUUGUGUUGGGCAUGGACUGGUUGACCAAGUACUUUGCCACCAUUGAUUGCAAGAAUCGAACGGUGACGUUUAGAGAGCCGGGGCAGGCGGAGGUUGUGUACCGAGGAUGCCAGAGUUCGCUGUUUGCGAUGACGAUUAGCUCCUCUCGAGCUAGGCAGUUGAUUAGUAGAGGCUGCGGAGCCUAUUUGGCUACUGUUGUAUUGCGGGAUGAUGCAGACGCCCCUAGGAUUGAGGAUAUCCCCGUAGUACGGGAAUUUGGAGAUGUGUUCCAAGCAGAGCUACCAGGCAUGCCGCCUGAUAGAGAGAUUGAGUUUGUGGUAGAUUUCGUUCCCGAGACUACUCCAAUCUCAACGGCGCCUUAUAGGAUGGCACCGGCGGAAUUGAAGGAGCUGAAGGCACAGUUGCAGGAUCUUCUGGACAAGGGUUUUGUGCGACCGAGUGUGUCACCUUGGAGAGCACCGGUCCUAUUUGUCAAGAAGAAGGAUGGAUCACUUCGCUUGUGCGUGGACUAUCGUGAACUUAAUAAAGUCACGAUCAAGAACAAGUAUCCAUUGCCGAGGAUCGACGAUCUAUUUGAUCAGCUUCAGAGAUCUUGUGUGUAUUCCAAGAUCGACUUGCAGUCGGGAUAUCACCAGUUGAAGAUCAGACCUGAGGAUGUGUCGAAAACGGCUUUUAGAACACGGUAUGGACAUUAUGAGUUUACUGUCAUGCCGUUUGGGCUUACUAAUGCCCCGGCAGCUUUUAUGGAUUUAAUGAACCGUGUUUUCAAGCCUUACCUAGACAGGUUCGUCGUAGUAUUCAUCGACGACAUUUUGGUCUAUUCCCGAAGUGAUGCAGAUCAUGAGGAACACUUGAGACUUGUACUUCAAGUGCUUCGGGAAAAGAAGCUCUAUGCCAAAUUGAAGAAGUGCGAAUUUUCGCUUAGAGAGGUGGCGUUUUUGGGCCAUGUGAUUUCAGGAUCAGGCAUAGCAGUGGACCCGAGAAAAAUUGAAGCUAUCAAGGAUUGGCCGAGGCCAACGAGUGUCACAGAGAUUCGGAGCUUCAUUGGUUUGGUCGGCUACUAUCGACGGUUUGUUGAGGGAUUUGCAAAGUUAUCUACUCCCCUCACGAAGCUCACGCAUAAAGGAACGAAGUUUGUUUGGAAUGAUGCGUGUGAAAGGAGCUUCCAAGAGCUAAAGCGGCGAUUGACGACCGCCCCGAUCCUAACCUUGCCGACUACUGGAGCAGGGUAUGUGAUUUAUAGUGAUGCUUCCCUUAAUAGAUUGGGCUGUGUCUUAAUGCAGGAUCGGAAAGUGAUCGCGUAUGCAUCCCGCCAAUUGAAGGAAUAUGAAAGAAACUAUCCCACCCAUGACUUAGAGUUGGCGGCCGUGGUCUUUGCUUUGAAGCUAUGGCGCUAUUAUCUCUACGGCGAGCGAUGCGAAGUAUAUACGGAUCACAAGAGCUUAAGGUAUUUAUUUACUCAGAAGGAGUUGAACUUGAGGCAGCGCAGAUGGUUGGAGCUACUCAAGGAUUAUGACUUGACUAUACUUUACCACCCGGGCAAGGCUAACGUGGUGGCGGAUGCGCUAAGCCGGAAAUCGACGGAGAACUUAGCGAUGUUUGUGGUUACUCAACCGCCGUUAAUCGAGCAGAUGAAGCGGUUGAAGUUGGAGGUGGUGGCUCCUGAUACACCUUUGAGACUGAUGACUUUGGUGGUGCAACCUACAAUUUUGGAAAGGAUUAAGGAAAAGCAAGCUUCCGACUCGGAGUUGCAAAAGAUUCGAGCUAAGAUGGUUGAUGGUUGCACCGGUGACUUCACUUUAGACGGUGAUGGGUCGAUGCGUUUCCGCGGACGACUUUGUGUACCAGCGGACUUGAGCAUUAAAGAGGAUAUUCUUCAAGAAGCACACCGAGCACCGUAUGCUAUACAUCCGGGAGGCACCAAGAUGUACAAGGACUUGAAGUUGCUUUAUUGGUGGCCCGAAAUGAAAAAGGAUGUUGGUGAGUUUGUUGCUAGAUGUCUGACUUGCCAACAGGUGAAGGCUGAGCACCGAGUUCCUGCGGGGAAGUUGCAGAGCCUACCGAUUCUAGUGUGGAAAUGGGAAAAGAUCACCAUGGACUUUGUGACGGGAUUGCCCCGCUCACAGGCUGGGCAUGACGCUAUUUGGGUGAUCGUGGAUAGGCUGACGAAAUCGGUACAUUUCAUACCUAUCCACACUACUUGGACUGGUGAGAGACUUGCACAGGUUUAUUUGGACGAGAUUGUGCGAUUACAUGGGGUACCUACUUCUAUAGUAUCAGAUCGAGACCCCCGUUUUGCAUCCCAUUUUUGGAGAAGCUUACAGGAUGCUUUGGGUACGCACUUGGAUUUCAGCACUGCCUUCCACCCCCAGAGCGAUGGGCAGUCGGAGCGUACAAUACAGACCCUCGAAGACAUGCUUCGAGCCUGUGUGAUUGACUUCCAGGGAGGAUGGUCGCAGCAUCUACCGAUGGCAGAGUUUGCUUAUAACAACAGCUAUCAAGCAAGCAUCAAGAUGGCACCGUUCGAGGCACUAUAUGGACGGAAGUAUAGAUCGCCACUUCAUUGGAGUGAAGUUGGCGAGAGAUUGGCUUUAGGCCCAGAUGUGCUCCAGGAAGCAGAGGACAAGGUUCGCAUUGCUCGGGAGCGAUUGUUGACAGCCCAGAGUAGACAGAGGAGUUAUGCUGAUCGGCGUCGACGACACUUGGAAUUUUAGAUUGGAGACCAUGUUUUCUUAAAAGUCUCGCCGACCAAAGGAAUUAGAAGAUUUGGAAUCCGGGGUACGUUGAGCCCCCGAUUCAUCUAACCGUUUGAGGUUUUGGAGCGUGUAGGCCCUGUAGCGUAUCGACUCGCUCUACCGCCAAACCUAUCGGGUGUACACAAUGUGUUCCAUGUAUCGGUCCUUCGGAAGUACAUCCACGACCCGGCUCAUGUUUUCCUUUGGAGCUGAGGGAGGACUUGAGCUUUGAGGAGCAACCUUUGAGGAUUUUGGCUCUCGAGGUAAAACAAUUGCGAAACCGCGAGAUUCCAUACGUGAAGGUGCUUUGGAGCAACCACGACGAGCGCGAGGCCACUUGGGAGCUGGAGAGCGCACUGAGGGAGCGCUAUCCCCAUCUUUUUCAGAUGGAGGCUUGAGGUACUUGUCAUCUUGAGUUUCGCGGAUGAAACUCCCUUUUAGGAGGGGUGAAUGUAGCACACUGGACCUUUGCAAAUUGCGAGGUUCGAGUGUUUGGAUGUAUUUCGAGCUUUUCCACACUUGGUGGAGGGUUGUGGAAUGUUUUCCGACCUAAAAAGUUCGAAAACUAGAAUUCUAGACAAGUCCUGAGAGUUUUUACUCUCGGGGACCGGCCCCUGAAAGGAGAGACCGGUCCCCCAGUGAGCAGUGUUGCGGCAGUCUUGAGGCAACCGGUCCCUGGCAGGCGAGACCGGUCCCCGAGCGCGCCUACGCAGCGAGAGACCGGUCCCGCACAGGAGAGACCGGUUCCCGAACGUUGGUUUUUCGGGUUCACGGCGAGAGACCGGUCCCUGCUAGGGAGAGACCGGUCCCUCUGGGCGAAAACUGCCCAGUUCGGGCUUAUGUAAAUUUGAGUUUUUGAGGGGCCUCUCCGAAUUUUGUUACACUAGAUGGGCUUAUUAGCCAUUUCCCUCUCUUCCCUCCUCAUUUCUCACCCUCACCCUACACCUUCUAGAGAGAGAAGAAGAAGAAGGAGGUGAAGAAGAAGAGAAGCUUGCUUGAGGGAGCUUGGAGCUCAACCCCUUUCUCUCUUUUCCACCCUUACUUGGCUUGGAGCUUGCUUGCAGAGCUUGGUGGUGGACCAAUCUUCAACCCUAGAAGAUUUGGAGCUUGUUUGGAGGCAUCUUGGGAGGUUAGUACUUGGAUUCUACCCUUUGAUCCUUGAUUUGGUAGGUUUUACCAUAUGAAACCCUAGAAUGGAUAUUAGGGUUGAUUUUUGGGGCUUUUUGAUCUAGGGCUUUUGAGGCUAGAUUGAUUGGAUUUGAACCUUCCUUGGGCUUGGAUUGGAAGGGAUUUAGCUCUCUUUUGGAGCUUUAGAGAGAUUUUCUACACAUUAGGUGAGUUUUAGCCCUUUUGCCUUGUUGGUUAAUGUUUGAUCUUAUAAUUGAUCGUAAUGCCCGUGUAUCUCUUCGCUCAAUACUUUUAGGGUAUUUUGAGACUCGUGGACAACUUCGUUCGGCGAAUCGAGGCACUACGCGACGGUUUGGUGGGUUUGACCUAGCCACACAAUGAGAAAAUCUCAUUUGUGAUGUUUUGAGUAUCGUUAAAUAAAAAAGCAUGCAUAAUCAUGUUAGAUAUAUUUAUUAUGAAUUUUAGAAUGCUUAACAUGCAUACAUUAUGUAUAGUAAAUUUUUGGACCUCUAUGUGGUAGGUGCAUGCAUGUGGGAUGUAGCAUUCUAGUGGAAACUUGGAACCAUGAUUCCUAUUAUGAAAAUGAACAUUGCUUUCUUGCAUUUAACCUUAUGCCUAAUUGUGACAUUAGGGACUUGGAAGCCUUGAGAGGCUUGGGGACUUAGACUAUUUGAGAUUUUGGGCCAAUGUCAUAAAGAGGCAUUGAGCCCCGGGCUAUAGUGAACAUUGGUAUUAAUGUCAUAUUUGGAACAUAAAACAUGAAUUGAGCUUGAUUAGUUGUGAUGCUUAAGUGUCAUAAAGAGGCACUAAGGAAGUGAGUGUUGAGUUAUCACAUUGUGACAUAGAGCUAGACCUUUCGGUUACUAGUAGCUAUUGCCAUGUUUGAGACAUGAGGGUUGGAUACUUGAGCCUUGACUACGCUUGCUUGCCAUUUGUGCUCAUUCGCACAUGCUUGUGAGGGUCGCUCCCUACAAGCCGGCACUCCGGAGUUAGCCUACGCGACCUAUGUUCGCUCGUGCGGUAUUGAGAAGCCUACGGGAUCGAGUGGGAUAGACACAUUCCAAGAGUAGGGAUGUUGGGCUACCACAGGCACUUAGGCGGCACAAGCUGGACUACCUUGGGUAGGUCCUUAAUUGGAAAUGAAAAUAGACACAGGGUCGAGUGUGUUAUAAUCACUACUAGAUAGAGAGUAGUAGUUGGAUUACUUGGACUUGCUUCUAGCAUAGCUUUGGACAUUUGAGUAUACAUACAUACAUGUAGCAUGCUAGGAGAGGUUGCUUAUUAUAUUCAUAUAUACAUUGUUGCCAUGGUAAAGCAUGAUCUUUAUAACUUCAUUAAGUAAACCGUGAUAUUUACUUGUGGCCAUGUAGAGACAUAAUGGUUAUGACAAAGUAAAGGUGCAUCAUAUUAACAUCCUGUUUAAUCGCAGUGUAGUAGUUUAGCAUUUUUUCUUAUGCUUUUACAAAUGCAAUUUAUUCCGUUCUAUUGCUCUUUUUGGCUUACCCUUUCUUUUGGGGCCUAGUGGUGCAUUGAGCUGAGGUCAGUAAUUGCCCACUCGGAACUAUAAAUUAUAGUUCUCACGCCCUCUGUUUUAUGUUUCCUUUCAGAGCCUUCCACGCCGGGAGAGGCUAGGGACCGCAGGAAGGGAGUUGUUUCGAGCUAGCUUCCUUCGAGGACGAUUGGAUAGGUGGUCUACCUCUCAUGGCUUUUCUUCUUGUGAGAGGUUGAGAGUUUACCCAUGUACUAGAGACCACCAUUUUGUACCUUUGAGGCAGAUUCUGUAUUACCUUAUGUUUUACUUCUAUGGUUUAGUAGUGAUCUUGUACUCUCUUUAUAGAUGAUAGAAUCAUACUUGCUCUGAUAUCUCUAGCUGUAGAUUAUUUCUUGCUUUUACUUCCGCUUUUAUUGUAGACGCCUUAUAUGUGUAGACAUAUGGCGGGUCUGGGCACGCUACCGGGAGGGCCUCCGCCGGUCCCGGGGCGUGACAU